rnacentral:rRNA from 1 species
AUGUUGACCUCGGAUCAGGUAGGAAUACCCGCUGAACUUAAGCAUAUCAAUAAGCGGAGGAAAAGAAACCAACAGGGAUUGCCCUAGUAACGGCGAGUGAAGCGGCAACAGCUCAAAUUUGAAAUCUGGCUCUCGGGCCCGAGUUGUAAUUUGUAGAGGAUACUUUUGAUGCGGUGCCUUCCGAGUUCCCUGGAACGGGACGCCAUAGAGGGUGAGAGCCCCGUCUGGUUGGAUGCCAAAUCUCUGUAAAGUUCCUUCGACGAGUCGAGUAGUUUGGGAAUGCUGCUCUAAAUGGGAGGUAUAUGUCUUCUAAAGCUAAAUACCGGCCAGAGACCGAUAGCGCACAAGUAGAGUGAUCGAAAGAUGAAAAGCACUUUGAAAAGAGAGUUAAAAAGUACGUGAAAUUGUUGAAAGGGAAGCGUUUAUGACCAGACUUGGGCUUGGUUAAUCAUCUGGGGUUCUCCCCAGUGCACUUUUCCAGUCCAGGCCAGCAUCAGUUUUCCCCGGGGGAUAAAGACUUCGGGAAUGUGGCUCUCUUCGGGGAGUGUUAUAGCCCGUUGUGUAAUACCCUGGGGGGGACUGAGGUUCGCGCAUCUGCAAGGAUGCUGGCGUAAUGGUCAUCAACGACCCGUCUUGAAACACGGACCAAGGAGUCGUCUUCGUAUGCGAGUGUUCGGGUGUCAAACCCCUACGCGUAAUGAAAGUGAACGCAGGUGAGAGCUUCGGCGCAUCAUCGACCGAUCCUGAUGUUCUCGGAUGGAUUUGAGUAAGAGCAUACGGGGCCGGACCCGAAAGAAGGUGAACUAUGCCUGUAUAGGGUGAAGCCAGAGGAAACUCUGGUGGAGGCUCGCAGCGGUUCUGACGUGCAAAUCGAUCGUCAAAUAUGGGCAUGGGGGCGAAAGACUAAUCGAACCUUCUAGUAGCUGGUUUCCGCCGAAGUUUCCCUCAGGAUAGCAGUGUUGAACUCAGUUUUAUGAGGUAAAGCGAAUGAUUAGGGACUCGGGGGCGCUAUUUAGCCUUCAUCCAUUCUCAAACUUUAAAUAUGUAAGAAGCUCUUGUUGCUUAAU